AGCUUUGCGCAGUGGCAGUAUCAUAGCCAAUGAGGUUUAUCCGAGGCGUGAUUACUGCUAAUUGAAAACUUUCCCCAAAGAUGCUUUGGGAAAAUAUUUUAGGUCUUUACUACUUUUGGUCAUGAAUGAUUAUUU